rnacentral:rRNA from 1 species
CUUGGGCGAAAGCUGACCAUGUGACACCGCGUGCGGGAAGAAGCUCUAAUCGAGCGUAAACCGCUGUGGUAGGGGAAGAAGUCCCGACUUAGUCGGGAUUGACGGUACCCUACUACAAACAACCCGCUAACUGCGUGCCAGAAAGCGUCGGUAAUACGUGGGCUUCAUGCGCUUAUCCGGUUUU